UACGGGGGGAGCAAGCGUUGUUCGGAUUUACUGGGCGUAAAGGGCGCGUAGGCGGUCAGCACAAGUCAGUUGUGAAAUCUCCGGGCUUAACUCGGAAAGGUCAACUGAUACUGUGCGACUAGAGUGCAGAAGGGGCAACUGGAAUUCUCGGUGUAGCGGUGAAAUGCGUAGAUAUCUGGAGGAACACCGGUGGCGAAGGCGACAUCCUGGACCAACACUGACGCUGAGUGAGCGAAAGCCAGGGGAGCAAACGGG
rnacentral:rRNA from 1 species